UACAGAGGGUGCAAGCGUUAAUCGGAAUUACUGGGCGUAAAGCGUGCGUAGACGGUUGCGUAAGUCAGAUGUGAAAUCCCUCGGCUUAACCGGGGAACUGCGUCUGAUACUGGAUGGCUUGAGUUUGGGAGAGGGAUGCGGAAUUCCAGGUGUAGCGGUGAAAUGCGUAGAUACCUGGAGGAACACCGGUGGCGAAGGCGGCAUCCUGGACCAACACGUGACACUGAGGAGCGAAAGCCAGGGGAGCAACGGG
rnacentral:rRNA from 1 species